GAUGAACGCUGGCGGCGUGCCUAAUACAUGCAAGUCGAGCGAACAGACGAGGAGCUUGCUCCUUCGACGUUAGCGGCGGACGGGUGAGUAACACGUAGGUAACCUACCUAUAAGACUGGGAUAACUUCGGGAAACCGGAGCUAAUACCGGAUAAUAUUUCGAACCGCAUGGUUCGAUAGUGAAAGAUGGCUUUGCUAUCACUUAUAGAUGGACCUGCGCCGUAUUAGCUAGUUGGUAAGGUAACGGCUUACCAAGGCAACGAUACGUAGCCGACCUGAGAGGGGGAGAGGCGACAAUGGAAAUGAGACACGGGAGAGAGAACUAAGGGAGGCAGCAGGGGGGAAGAGUGAGAAAUGGGUGAAAGCAUGAAGGAGCAAAGACGAGUGAGUGAUGAAGGUGUUAGGAUCGGAAAAAGCUGUGACUAGGCAAGAACAGAAGUCUACGUAACUCUGCACACCAGGACGGUAGAUAAUCAGAAAGCCACGGCUAACUACGUG
rnacentral:rRNA from 1 species